rnacentral:rRNA from 1 species
AGAGUUUGAUCCUGGCUCAGGACGAACGCUGGCGGCGUGCCUAAUACAUGCAAGUAGAACGCUGAAGAGAGGAGCUUGCUCUUCUUGGAUGAGUUGCGAACGGGUGAGUAACGCGUAGGUAACCUGCCUUGUAGCGGGGGAUAACUAUUGGAAACGAUAGCUAAUACCGCAUAACAAUGGAUGACACAUGUCAUUUAUUUGAAAGGGGCAAUUGCUCCACUACAAGAUGGACCUGCGUUGUAUUAGCUAGUAGGUGAGGUAAUGGCUCACCUAGGCGACGAUACAUAGCCGACCUGAGAGGGUGAUCGGCCACACUGGGACUGAGACACGGCCCAGACUCCUACGGGAGGCAGCAGUAGGGAAUCUUCGGCAAUGGGGGCAACCCUGACCGAGCAACGCCGCGUGAGUGAAGAAGGUUUUCGGAUCGUAAAGCUCUGUUGUAAGUCAAGAACGGGUGUGAGAGUGGAAAGUUCACACUGUGACGGUAGCUUACCAGAAAGGGACGGCUAACUACGUGCCAGCAGCCGCGGUAAUACGUAGGUCCCGAGCGUUGUCCGGAUUUAUUGGGCGUAAAGCGAGCGCAGGCGGUUUGAUAAGUCUGAAGUUAAAGGCUGUGGCUCAACCAUAGUUCGCUUUGGAAACUGUCAAACUUGAGUGCAGAAGGGGAGAGUGGAAUUCCAUGUGUAGCGGUGAAAUGCGUAGAUAUAUGGAGGAACACCGGUGGCGAAGGCGGCUCUCUGGUCUGUAACUGACGCUGAGGCUCGAAAGCGUGGGGAGCGAACAGGAUUAGAUACCCUGGUAGUCCGCGCCGUAAACGAUGAGUGCUAGGUGUUGGAUCCUUUCCGGGAUUCAGUGCCGCAGCUAACGCAUUAAGCACUCCGCCUGGGGAGUACGACCGCAAGGUUGAAACUCAAAGGAAUUGACGGGGGCCCGCACAAGCGGUGGAGCAUGUGGUUUAAUUCGAAGCAACGCGAAGAACCUUACCAGGUCUUGACAUCCCGAUGCUAUUUCUAGAGAUAGAAAGUUACUUCGGUACAUCGGUGACAGGUGGUGCAUGGUUGUCGUCAGCUCGUGUCGUGAGAUGUUGGGUUAAGUCCCGCAACGAGCGCAACCCCUAUUGUUAGUUGCCAUCAUUCAGUUGGGCACUCUAGCGAGACUGCCGGUAAUAAACCGGAGGAAGGUGGGGAUGACGUCAAAUCAUCAUGCCCCUUAUGACCUGGGCUACACACGUGCUACAAUGGCUGGUACAACGAGUUGCGAGUCGGUGACGGCGAGCUAAUCUCUUAAAGCCAAUCUCAGUUCGGAUUGUAGGCUGCAACUCGCCUACAUGAAGUCGGAAUCGCUAGUAAUCGCGGAUCAGCACGCCGCGGUGAAUACGUUCCCGGGCCUUGUACACACCGCCCGUCACACCACGAGAGUUUGUAACACCCGAAGUCGGUGAGGUAACCUUUUGGAGCCAGCCGCCUAAGGUGGGACAGAUGAUUGGGGUGAAGUCGUAACAAGGUA